rnacentral:rRNA from 1 species
CCUACGGGGGGCUGCAGUCGAGAAUCAUUCACAAUGGGGGAAACCCUGAUGGUGCGACGCCGCGUGGGGGAAUGAAGGUCUUCGGAUUGUAAACCCCUGUCAUGUGGGAGCAAAUUAAAAAGAUCGUACCCCAAGAGGAAGAGACGGCUAACUCUGUGCCAGCAGCCGCGGUAAUACAGAGGUCUCAAGCGUUGUUCGGAAUCACUGGGCGUAAAGCGUGCGUAGGCUGUUUCGUAAGUCGUGUGUGAAAGGCGCGGGCUCAACCCGCGGACGGCACAUGAUACUGCGAGACUAGAGUAAUGGAGGGGGAACCGGAAUUCUCGGUGUAGCAGUGAAAUGCGUAGAUAUCGGGAGGAACACUCGUGGCGAAGGCGGGUUCCUGGACAUUAACUGACGCUGAGGCACGAAGGCCAGGGGAGCGAAAGGGAUUAGAUACCCGUGUAGUC